CCCUGCCAUUUGUACACACCGCCCGUCGCUGCUACCGAUUGGAUGAUCCGGUGAAAUUCUCGGACUGUCGCUCAGGGGUGGUUCGCCGCCGCUGGGUGAUAGGAAGUUACUUAAACCUUAUUAUCUAGAGGAAGCAAAAGUCGUAACAAG
rnacentral:rRNA from 1 species